rnacentral:rRNA from 1 species
GACGAACGCUGGCGGCAUGCCUAACACAUGCAAGUCGAACGUGAUCCGUGCCUUCGGGCACGGUGAAAGUGGCGCACGGGUGAGUAACGCGUGGGAACCUGCCCAAUGGUAGGGAAUAACCGCGGGAAACUGCGGCUAAUACCCUAUGAGCCCCAAGGGGAAAGGAUUAUCGCCGUGGAGGGCCGCGUCGGAUUAGUAGUUGGUGAGGUAAUGGCUCACCAAGCCUUCGAUCCGUAGCUGGCUGAGAGGAUGAUCAGCCACACUGGGACUGAGACACGGCCCA